UCGAGAUUUGGUUGGAAUGGAUACAAGAGGAUUUUUCCGAUGAAACAAGAACGGAUGUUACUGCUUAAACCACAUGAAUUCAAAGGGUUUGUGUUCAGAACAGAAACUCAAAUCCAGUAUGUGCCCUCUAGUUGCUCACAGUUGAAGCGAGUGGUGGCCGCUUACUCCAAAUGGGCAUGAAGGCGUCUGUCUGGCAAGCUGUCCAUGGUCCAGAAGUCCAGUUAGGUCUGAAAGCAAAGUUCCACCCUUGACCUCCUCAGAAGAAAUAACUUCUCCAGCCCCUUCACAGAAGGACCACAGCUGCAGGAGCUUUGUGGCCCCUGGGCGUCUUAAUGGCUCCUUUUCAGAAAGUCACCUGUGACAGGCAGACAUUAUCCUGAGCUCAAGGGAGCAAAUGCACUCAAACCCCUUAGGGCCAUGCCGGCUUGGGAGCGCAGCAGGCCGAGAUGGCUUCGCGGGGACGCGGGGGCACACAGCCGGGUGCAGACGCAGGAUCAGUUACCGGAACCCUCGCCGCGGUUGCCCCCCGAAGACCCUGCCCACAGGCACGUCCCGGGGGCGGGAAUCCUUCC